rnacentral:tRNA from 1 species
GAGAGUAUAGCUCAGUGGUAAAGCACAUGCUUAGCAUGCACAAGAUCCUGGGUUCAAUCCCCAGUACCUCCA